UACAGAGGCCUCAAGCGUUAGGCGGAAUUACUGGGCUUAAAGCGUGUGUAGGCGGGUUGUUAAGUACCCUGUGAAGUCCCACGGCUUAACUGUGGAACGGCUUGGUAUACUGGCGAUCUUGAGCCACUUAGGGGCUACCGGAACAGAUGGUGGAGCGGUGAGAUGCGUAGAUAUCAUCUGGAACGCCAAUGGUGAAAACAGGUAGCUGGGAGUGUGCUGACGCUGAGACACGAAAGCCAGGGGAGCGAACGGG
rnacentral:rRNA from 1 species